rnacentral:rRNA from 1 species
AAGUAGGGGACGAGCGUUGUCCGGAAUUACUGAGCGUAAAGGGCGCGCAGGCUGUUUGACAAGUCAGCUGUUAAAUAUGGGGGCUUAACCAUUAUAUGCGGUUGAAACUAUCAGACUGGAGUGCUGUAGAGGCAAGUGGAAUUCCCAGUGUAGCGGUGAUAUGCGUAGAUAUUGGGAAGAACACCGGUGGCGAAGGCGACUUGCUGGGAAGCAACUGACGCUGAGGCGCGAAAUCCAGGGGAACAUACGU